GCUGCGUGUGUCCGAGCGGUUAAGGAGUUGGGCUUAAAUCCAAUGGUUUAUUGCCCGCACGGGUUUCGAAUCCUGUCCGCAGCG